AAGUGUUAAGUCUUGGAGAAAUUACUUUAUAAGUUAAGGCUAGAUUUUGGCGAAAAUUAACGGUUAAGUUUGUAUUGAAUAUUACUUUGUUUAUAUUUCGUUAAUGACGUUAUAUAUAUUAUUUCUUGACCAAUUACGUGCCAGCAGUCGCGGUAAUACGUAAGAGACUAGUGUUAUUCAUCUUAAUUAGGUUUAAAGGGUUCUCAAACGAACUGAUUACAAAAAACUAGAGUAAUAUUGUAGAAGGUUGUACCUUAAGAGUAGGGUUUUUAUUUGGUCAUACUCGAGGGUCUUUGAAAAGGCGUAGGCAACCUUCUAAGCAUUUUCUUUCGUUGAAGGACGGGCAUAGGUCACGAUCAGGAUUAGAUUCCCAUGUAGUCUUUGCCGUCAUUGUUGAAUGCCCUAGGUUAGAUUUUAUUUUAGUCUAUAAGAGUGAGUGUAAGCAUUUCACCUCAAGAGUAAUGUGGCAACGCGGGAACUGAAAU
rnacentral:rRNA from 1 species